rnacentral:tRNA from 1 species
AGCCUUGGGGUGUUACAUGUUAGAUUGCAAAUCUAAAGACGCAGAUUGACGUCUGCCGGGGCUU